GGGCCUGUAGCUCAGUUGGUUAGAGCAGUGGACUCAUAAUCCAUUGGUCGUAGGUUCAAGUCCUACCGGGCCCA
rnacentral:tRNA from 1 species